GUCAACCUUUUCUCCCAGAUCUCUUUCUCUUCUCGAUCGGUAUAUUCAAAAUCAUUCUCAAUUAUUCUUCUAUUGCUUUUUACGAUCCAGGUCUGCAUUCCUGUCGGCUUUUAAGAAAAGUUAUCGGCGACGGCAACAUGACAUCGACGAAGCUUAACAUUACUGCCGAUUCGGCUUCCAUUCCUCCCAAUUUACACAAAAACCUAUCUCAUCUCUCCUCUCAACAGGUAGAAUUGGCGAAAGUGUUGAUAGAGAUGGGGCAAACUCACUUGUUUCAGCAUUGGGCGGAACCUGGAGUUGAUGAUGAUGAGAAGCGAGCUUUCUUUGAUCAGAUUGCUAAACUUAAUUCAAGUUACCCUGGGGGGUUGGCAGCAUACAUUAACACUGCUAGGAAGCUUUUAGCUGAUUCAAAGACUGGAAAAAACCCGUAUGAUGGUUUUACACCUUCGGUUCCAUCUGGAGAGGUUCUGAAAUAUGGUGACGAUAAUUUUGUUCAAUUUGAGGAGGCUGGCAUCAAAGAUGCACGGAAGGCUGCAUUUGUGCUUGUUGCUGGAGGCCUCGGAGAGCGUCUUGGGUACAAUGGGAUAAAGGUGGCCCUUCCUAGAGAAACAACUACAGGGACAUGCUUCUUACAACAUUAUAUCGAAUCUAUUCUUGCUUUGCAAGAAGCCAGUUGCAGCCUUGCCGGAGGCGACUGCCGAGCAGAGAUUCCUCUGGCUAUUAUGACGUCAGAUGACACACAUUUACGUACUCUGGAGCUCUUAGAGAAAAACUCUUAUUUUGGAAUGAAACCCACACAAGUGAAACUGCUUAAGCAGGAAAAAGUUGCUUGUUUAGAUGAUAAUGAAGCACACCUUGCUUUGGAUCCCCGUAAUAAAUAUAGAAUUCAGACAAAACCUCAUGGCCAUGGUGACGUCCAUUCACUUCUUUACUCAAGUGGCCUUCUUAAAGUUUGGCAUGAUGCAGGCUUAAGAUGGGUCCUUUUUUUCCAGGACACCAACGGUCUACUUUUCAAGGCAAUUCCCGCAGCACUAGGCGUCAGUACAACAAAACAAUACCAUGUCAAUUCUCUCGCUGUUCCUCGGAAAGCAAAAGAAGCCAUUGGUGGCAUUACCAAGCUUACUCAUCAAGAUGGGCGAACGAUGGUGAUUAAUGUGGAAUAUAACCAGCUUGAUCCAUUGCUUAGAGCUUCUGGAUAUCCUGAUGGCGAUGUCAAUUCUGAAACAGGCUAUUCACCUUUUCCUGGAAAUAUAAAUCAAUUGAUCUUUGAAAUUGGCCCAUACCUUGAAGAGCUCACAAGAACAGGAGGUGCGAUCUCGGAGUUUGUUAACCCUAAGUACAAAGAUGCUACCAAAACUGCUUUUAAGUCUUCAACUCGUCUUGAAUGCAUGAUGCAAGAUUAUCCUAAAACGCUACCUCCCACAGCUAGAGUUGGAUUCACUGUGAUGGAUGCUUGGCUUGCUUAUGCACCCGUGAAAAACAACCCAGAAGAUGCUGCCAAGGUGCCAAAAGGAAAUCCUUACCACAGUGCCACUUCGGGAGAAAUGGCCAUAUAUCGCUCUCACAGCCUCAUUCUAAGAGAGGCUGGUGUUAAGAUAGAUGAUCCGGUUAUCCAAGUAUUUAACGGGCAGGAGGUAGAGGUAUGGUCUCGAGUUGUAUGGAAGCCGAAAUGGGCGCUUACUUUCUCAGAAGUAAAACGUAAAGUGAGUGGAAACUGUUCUAUUUCACAAAGGUCUACAAUGGCGAUCAAGGGGAGUAAUAUUGCCCUUGAGGAUCUUUCCCUGGAUGGGGCUCUCAUUGUAGAGGCUGUUGAUGGUGCCGAGGUCAAAGUGGGAGGUUCCGUGCAGAACAAGGGUUGGACAAUUGAAAAUGUCGACUAUAAGGAUACUUCAAUACCAGAAGAAAUAAGAAUCAGGGGCUUCAAAUUCGACAAGGUAGAGCAGUUGGAGAAAACAUAUACCGAGCCCGGUAAAUAUUCUUUGAAGCCAUAAGAUUGACACAUUCCAUACUCAGCUUGAAGAUUUUGAGCUCAAGUUCUGAAAGUAACUGGCUGGCCAGGUGGAGGGACAUUUAUUAAAGUAACAAGAAUCCAUUUACUAUUACAACAACUUUAGCUUCAUCGUUUCUUCCGGUUGAUGUGAGGGGAAUAUUGACGGUUCCAAAUCGAAUCGAAAUUGAUAAUUAGGAAAAAAAAAUAUUGGUUUAUUAAUAAUGAGCUAUUGAUUUUGCAGUUU